rnacentral:tRNA from 1 species
GGAGGGGUGCCAGAGCGGACGAUUGGGGCGGUCUUGAAAACCGUUGAAGUCUUUACAGACUUCCGUGGGUUCGAAUCCCACCCCCUCCGCCA